rnacentral:rRNA from 1 species
UACGGGGGGAGCAAGCGUUGUUCGGAAUUACUGGGCGUAAAGGGUUCGUAGGCGGUCUGUUGCGUCGGCUGUGAAAACCCGGGGCUCAACUCCGGGCCUGCAGCCGAUACGGGCAGACUAGAGUUCGGCAGGGGAGACUGGAAUUCCUGGUGUAGCGGUGAAAUGCGCAGAUAUCGGGAGGAACACCAGUGGCGAAGGCGGUUACCUGGAGCUUUGCUGACGCUGAUGCGCGAAAGCGUGGGGAGCGAGUCCGG